UUGGGCUCAACGCAAAUAUCGUCGACUACAGGGUCACCAAUUGCAUGAUCAAAUGAAGGGGCAUAGAGCUCUCUGUCAGUGAUCUUUUUCAUAAGCCGAACUAAGGAGUAGAAUAAGUCUGCAUCAAACGUCCAUUCUGCUCCACGAAGAGCCCGGGCCUUUUCUGGGUUGUCGAAUCGAUCAAGCUCUUCCAACGAAUAAUGAAAGCCAUCCUUUAAAAAAUGUUAGCCAGAAUCACAAAAAAAUCGUAUUAUCAUUUCAUUUCCAUUUCGCAUAGUAACAGAAAAACUUACCAUUGGAAUUAUUUUUACGAUCUCCGAUCCAAAUCUUUCAUUCCAUGCCUUUGCGAGAAUAGCACAUAAUGUUGACUUGCCUGAACCAGGACCUCCAGCCAAACCGAUUAGAACUCGUUGCUGGUGCUUCAACAAUUCAACUGCACGGUUGUAAAGUUCGUCAUAAGACGAUACAUCUGGGGCAUCUACUUGUAAAGCCAUUUUAUCAUACAGCAGAUGAAUGAGUAGCGUAAGGGAUGAAAUAAUCAAACAAUAAAGUUAAAUAUGAGUUUUGCAA